UACGUAGGGACCGAGCGUUGUCCGGAAUCAUUGGGCGUAAAGAGCGUGUAGGCGGCCACUUAAGUCCUGCGUGAAAUCUUGCGGCUCAACCGCAAGCGGUCGUGGGAAACUGGGUGGCUAGAGUGCGGGAGAGGAGAGUGGAAUUCCUGGUGUAGCGGUGGAAUGCGUAGAGAUCCGGAAGAACACCGGUGGCGAAGGCGGCCUGCUGGGCAGUAGCUGACACUGAGGCGCGACAGCGUGGGGAGCAAACAGG
rnacentral:rRNA from 1 species